AGUCCAUAGUGCAGACAUUUUGUUAAAAGUUCCUUAAAACGUUCCCAUGUUUCAUAUAAAUAUUCCCCAUCCUCUUGUUCGAAAGAACUAAUUUCAGUCAUU
rfam:Helianthus annuus linkage group 15, whole genome shotgun sequence.